UACGUAGGGUGCGAGCGUUUGUCCGGAUUUAUUGGGCGUAAAGAGCUCGUAGGCGGUUUGUCGCGUCGGCCGUGAAAUCUCCACGCUUAACGUGGGGCGUGCGGUCGAUACGGGCAGACUUGAGUUCGGUAGGGGAGACUGGAAUUCCUGGUGUAGCGGUGAAAUGCGCAGAUAUCAGGAGGAACACCGGUGGCGAAGGCGGGUCUCUGGGCCGAUACUGACGUGGAGGAGCGAAAGCGUGGGGAGCGAACAGG
rnacentral:rRNA from 1 species